rnacentral:rRNA from 1 species
ACUCCUACGGGAGGCAGCAGUGGGGAAUAUUGCACAAUGGGCGAAAGCCUGAUGCAGCGACGCCGCGUGAGGGAUGACGGCCUUCGGGUUGUAAACCUCUUUCAGCAGGGAAGAAGCGAAAGUGACGGUACCUGCAGAAGAAGGUCCGGCCAACUACGUGCCAGCAGCCGCGGUAAU